UCUCCGUAGGUGAACCUGCGGAGGGAUCAUUACUGAGUGAGGGUCUCCGGGCCCGACCUCCAACCCUUUUGUGAACCACCUCGUUGCUUCGGGGGCGACCCUGCCUUCGGGUGUCGGGGCCCCCGGUGGACCACCCAACCCUGCAUCGUUGCGUCUGAGUCUUAUAUAUGAAUUAAAUCAAAACUUUCAACAACGGAUCUCUUGGUUCUGGCAUCGAUGAAGAACGCAGC
rnacentral:misc_RNA from 1 species